ensembl:lncRNA MIR99AHG mir-99a-let-7c cluster host gene
ACACUGGGCUCUCAACGUGGUGUGGAAGGUAGCCUGUUACAGUGCUGGAUUCAUAAAAGGGCCUUUAUGGUUUGUGAAAGAAUAUCUGUGUGCUUAGGGAGGAAACUUUUUGAUCUGCAGAAAAGCCAGAAGACAUCUAGGACAUCCAUAAAAAUUCAUCAGAGAGCAUUUUACUACUGAGCUGCAAAGAUGACAAGAGCACCUCAAAGGCAGCAGCCUCAAGGAGCAGCCAUGGCCCCAGACUUGUCGCACGGAUGCAGAAAACUUAAUGGAGGAGGCUGAGUCAAAUCAGGAGCUUUAGAAAAUACUGAUGCCUGGCUCUCAACCAGAGAGAACUGAACUGAAUUGGUCUGGUGAAUUCAUUAAAAGAGCUAACAACAAUGAAGUUAAUGUACGCAUCUCACCUCUCAAGAGUAUUAACAGGCCAGGCGUGUUGGCUCAUACCUGUAAUCCCAGCACUUUGGGAGGCCAAGGCGGGCGGAUCACCCAAGAAUGGGAUAACUGCCUGGCACUCACCAAGCUACACUUGAAGAGGAUCAAUCCAUGUCAUCAUGUCCCCAAUUUCAUAGCACCAAGUAUUUUGUUUAUUCACAAAUGCCCUAUUAUGGACAUCUAGCAAACAAUGAUACAUCAGAAAAGGAGAUGUGCAUAAAUUUUCAUGGAAUAAGGUAUAAAGCCCAACUCUCAAUACAUACUAAUCAUAACAGGAGUCUAAGAAAUAUUCUGAAAUAAAUGGGAAUGCAGAAUGUGUCAGGCCUCUGAGCCCAAGCUAAGCCAUCAUAUCCCCUGUGACCAGCACGUACACAUCCAGAUGGCCGGUUCCUGCCUUAACUGAUGACAUUCCACCACAAAAGAAAUUAAAAUGGCCUGUUCUUGCCUUAACUGAUGACAUUAUCUUGUGAAAUUCCUUCUCCUGGCUCAUCCUGGCUCAAAAGCUCCCCAACUGAGCAUCUUGUGACCCCCACUCUUGCCUGCCAGAGAACAACCCCACUUUUUCCUUUACCUACCCAAAUCCUAUAAAACAGCCCCACCCCUAUCUCCCUUCGCUGACUCUCUUUUUGGACUCAGCCCGCCUGCACCCAGGUGAUUAAAAUCUUUAUUGCUCACACAAA